GUGCAUCUUGGACAAAACUUACAGUCAUGAGGAACUGUUAACUAUGGACAAACAAAUUCUCGGGCAACUGGUUGUCGUGGAUAAAGUUGUCAUGGUUGUGCGAAGUGAAGUUAGCCAUGUGGAAGCCUCAUUGUUUGCCGAUUAACCGACUAUUACACAAGAGGCCGAUGAAACUACCACAUUUAAAGACCUCAAACUAAACUUGGUCUUUCAAUUGCGUCGAUCUUGGAAUAAAGAGCUUAUAAGUUUCGGGAACCUGAGAAUAUCAUGGACUACAGUUUUGUGAUUGGUCUACAUAUCUGCAAUUAUUGCAUCCUUUUGGUAACAAUUCUGGAAAUCUUUGUACAUCUAUGUUACAUUGCGUUAAACUGGUUGUUGUGGAUAAAGUUGCCGUGGUUGGUGAGGUGAAGUUAGCCAUGCGGAACCCUCAUUGUUUGCCGAUUAGCCGACUAUUGUAAGUGUUUGGUUAUUGUUUUCAGUACCGAAGCUCCUUGGUUACAAAGUUUUUUGGUGUACAUUGUGUUAAAUUGGUUGGAUGUCAAAGGUAUGUUUGAAAUCCCUUUAGCGCUACAACCUAUCUGCUUCCGAAGAAGAUCAUGUACAGUUCCUUCUGCAGUUAUUUCUCUAGUUCUUACAUUCUCUUAUUCAACAAAUGGGUGUCUUAAUGGAUAUGUCAUAGAAUUGUUAAG